AUUGAACGCUGGCGGCAGGCCUAACACAUGCAAGUCGAGCGGAUGAAGGGAGCUUGCUCCUGGAUUCAGCGGCGGACGGGUGAGUAAUGCCUAGGAAUCUGCCUGGUAGUGGGGGAUAACGUCCGGAAACGGGCGCUAAUACCGCAUACGUCCUGAGGGAGAAAGUGGGGGAUCUUCGGACCUCACGCUAUCAGAUGAGCCUAGGUCGGAUUAGCUAGUUGGUGGGGUAAAGGCCUACCAAGGCGACGAUCCGUAACUGGUCUGAGAGGAUGAUCAGUCACACUGGAACUGAGACACGGUCCAGACUCCUACGGGAGGCAGCAGUGGGGAAUAUUGGACAAUGGGCGAAAGCCUGAUCCAGCCAUGCCGCGUGUGUGAAGAAGGUCUUCGGAUUGUAAAGCACUUUUAGUUGGGAGGAAGAGCAGUAAGUUAAAACCUUGCUGUUUUGACGUUACCAACAGAAUAAGCACCGGCUAACUUCGUG
rnacentral:rRNA from 1 species